UCCAUUUUCCGGCAAAGGAAUGAUGUUCGCGUGAUGGUAGCAUGUGCCCGCGGGGGCGUUCGAUUUUGAGUUCCCCGAAUCGCGUGUUGGUUUGAGGAAAAAGAUGAUCGCUUCUCUCUUGUGGUUUGUAGGAAAGCACGUGAAGUCGGCGCGGCGCUUGUUCAGCUACGAUUCGAAAGAGGAUGCAGCCAACCGUUUUACCACGGUCGUUCGAGCGCCGCAGGCCGAUUCUGGAUGGUAGAGUGUGAGAUGCCAUGUGGUACGGUGUGGUCCGGUUGGAUUGGGUUCGGUUCGGUACGGUCCGCAAUGUCGAUGCGCAUCUUAAACGUGGGCGGAUCGGUCGGUCAGCCGCCCCUGGUGUUUCUCACCCGCAUGCCUGGCAUACGUGCCGCUCGUCCUCUCCUUUUUCCUUUUUCCCCUUCCCACUACAAUUCCCAAGCCUUUCUUCCUCCCAGUUCGAGCUACCGGUUCUCUCCCUAUCGUUCUUGUGUCUCUUCGUGUUCCACGAUCGAUCGGUUGCUUCACGUGUACGUUUCACCUUUUUCUCUAUCUUCGAUUGUUAAUCUACUUCCGAGUCCGUUUCCAAGAAUUAUUUCUUUUUUUCUCGUACCCUUGAUCAAUCAUUCCAUUCAUAUUUUUCUCAUGUUUUUUUGUUUCUCGCGCGCGAUAGAUUGAUCAUACUUCAAAUAAUUUUUAUUAUCGAUACCACGAUUGAAAAUUAGAAAGUAAUGGCUGACUGGAGAAGAAGAAAAAGGAAGAAAAUAAAAGGAGGAGAAAAGAUGGGCCGAAAGUAAAAUUCCAUUGGAUAAGAAGAAGUGUUGAACGUUGGUUCUCGUAUAGUCAUAGCCCUGAGGACGUUUCUCAUGAGUUGGGGGCGGCAGGAAGAAAGAUUGCCACGCUCAGAGUUGUUUUUCUGUUACUCGAGGGCAUCGGCGUUCCUCAGCAAGAUUGGUUCAGUACGAAAUCAUUUGGCCAAUUACAUCUCAAAAAUUUAUAUAAUGUCUAGUCAACCUGUUUUCAUCGAUGCUUGAAAAUCAAAAAAUGAAAAUAGAACGAGAAUCAAGAUCUACCACUUAUUAUUUAUUCUCAAGAAAAAAUUUUAAAUAAUUUCACAAUUCCUCGUUCAAUUAUAAUCUUAUGUCUUAAAAUAACGUGAAAAUCAUGUUCAACGCGUUACGAAUACCGCGAUCAGGAAAGUAUACGAAACUCGAGCUUUGCUAGUCGAGAUUGACGCGACGGUAUGGAAGUAUGUAUGUACUUAUAUACUUAUUGUGUCUUGCGUCUAACUGACAUGACGCAACAUGGUGCUACGUCACACGCCGCGAUUGAUCGUACGAAACGAAUUGGAACAUAAGUGUGACAAUCUUGUAUUGAAUAUAUCCUUACAAAGUUAAGCCAAAA